AGUUCUAUAUUCUAAAUUAUGAAAUUUGAUUGCAAAUCUUGGAGUGGUGUGACCUAGAACUU
rnacentral:tRNA from 1 species